rnacentral:rRNA from 1 species
UCUACGGGUGGCAGCAGUGGGGAAUAUUGGACAAUGGGCGAAAGCCUGAUCCAGCCAUGCCGCGUGUGUGAAGAAGGCCUUCGGGUUGUAAAGCACUUUCAGUGGGGAAGAAAGCCUUGGGGCUAAUACCCUCGAGGAAGGACAUCACCCACAGAAGAAGCACCGGCUAACUCCCUGCCAGCAGCCGCGGUAAUACGGAGGGUGCGAGCGUUAAUCGGAAUUACUGGGCGUAAAGCGCGCGUAGGCGGUCUGAUAAGCCGGUUGUGAAAGCCCCGGGCUCAACCUGGGAACGGCAUCCGGAACUGUCAGGCUAGAGUGCAGGAGAGGAAGGUAGAAUUCCCGGUGUAGCGGUGAAAUGCGUAGAGAUCGGGAGGAAUACCAGUGGCGAAGGCGGCCUUCUGGACUGACACUGACGCUGAGGUGCGAAAGCGUGGGUAGCAAACAGGAUUAGAUACCCUAGUAGUC